CCUAACACAUGCAAGUCGAGGGGUAGCAGGAUGUAGCAAUACAUUGCUGACGACCGGCGCACGGGUGAGUAACACGUAUGCAACCUACCUUCUACAGGGNGAAUAGCCCGGAGAAAUUCGGAUUAAUACCCCAUAACGCAGGGAUACCGCAUGGUAAUAUUUGCUAAAGAUUAAUCGGUAGAAGAUGGGCAUGCGUUCCAUUAGCCAGUUGGUGAGGUAACGGCUCACCAAAGCUACGAUGGAUAGGGGAACUGAGAGGUUUAUCCCCCACACUGGAACUGAGACACGGUCCAGACUCCUACGGGAGGCAGCAGUGAGGAAUAUUGGUCAAUGGACGAGAGUCUGAACCAGCCAAGUCGCGUGAAGGAUGACGGCCCUACGGGUUGUAAACUUCUUUUGUAUGGGAGUAAAAAGAUGGACGUGUCCAUUAUUGCAAGUACCAUACGAAUAAGCAUCGGCUAACUCCGUGCCAGCAGCCGCGGUAAUACGGAGGAUGCGAGCGUUAUCCGGAUUUAUUGGACAUGUGGUUUAAUUCGAUGAUACGCGAGGAACCUUACCCGGGCUUGAAAUGCAUCUGACCGCUUAAGAAAUUAGGCUUCUAGCAAUAGCAGAUGUGUAGGUGCUGCAUGGUUGUCGUCAGCUCGUGCCGUGAGGUGUCGGCUUAAGUGCCAUAACGAGCGCAACCCACAUUGUUAGUUACUAACAGGUCAAGCUGAGGACUCUGACAAGACUGCCAGCGUAAGCUGUGAGGAAGGUGUGGAUGACGUCAAAUCAGCACGGCCCUUACGUCCGGGGCGACACACGUGUUACAAUGGAUGGUACAGAGGGUCGCUACCUAGUGAUAGGAUGCCAAUCUCGAAAGCCAUUCCCAGUUCGGAUUGGAGUCUGCAACUCGACUCUAUGAAGCUGGAUUCGCUAGUAAUCGCACAUCAGCCAUGGCGCGGUGAAUACGUUCCCGGGCCUUGUACACACCGCCCGUCAAGCCAUGGAAGACUGGGGGUACCCUGAAGUACGUAACCGNCAAGGAGCGUCCUAGGGUAAAAC
rnacentral:rRNA from 1 species